rnacentral:rRNA from 1 species
AUAUCAAUAAGCGGAGGAAAAGAAACCAACAGGGAUUCCCUCAGUAACGGCGAGUGAAGCGGCAAAAGCCCAAAAUGUAAAUCUUCACACUGCGUGUGACGAAUUGUAAUCUAAAGAUGGUUCGCUUACCGGGCGGUGGCGCAGAAGUGCCUUAGAACGGGCCGCCAGAGAGGGUGACAGCCCCGUAUGUGGUGCCACUGCCUACCGAGCGUGCUAUCGAAGAGUCGGGUUGUUUUGUAUUGCAGCCCUAAGUGGAGAUAACUCUAC